rnacentral:rRNA from 1 species
AUGGUUCAUGGUUCACGUUGUGUGCAAUUCGAUUUUACCCUGUGUUUCUCGGUUCGGCCAUGGGUUGGUGAUAGGUUCAAGCUGUCAAAUCAUUACAAAGGGGGCAACAGGAAUGUGGCUACGAUAAAAUGCUGUGAUGAUUUGCUUCCCAGCAGUUAUGUCAGAGGAAUUGAUCAGCCCUUGAAGGAAUUUUGCUUGACAACUUACAAGAGCUAUGUACAGAAAAAUUAUGUUCAUGAUUUGGAUGAGCAUGGUGUGAAAGUGCCCAGAGGGAUUGGGAGAAUGAAGGCCCUGCACACACUUGGUGUUGUCAACACUGCACGGGGGAAGGCCAUUCUGAAGGAUCUGUGUGAGCUUAACUCAGUUGCGUAA